GAUUAAGUUAUUAAGGGCGCACGGUGGAUGCCUUGGCACUAGAAGCCGAUGAAGGACGUUACUAACGACGAUAUGCUUUGGGGAGCUGUAAGUAAGCUUUGAUCCAGAGAUUUCCGAAUGGGGAAACCCAGCAUGAGUUAUGUCAUGUUAUCGAUAUGUGAAUACAUAGCAUAUCAGAAGGCACACCCGGAGAACUGAAACAUCUUAGUACCCGGAGGAAGAGAAAGAAAAUUCGAUUCCCUUAGUAGCGGCGAGCGAAACGGGAAGAGCCCAAACCAACAAGCUUGCUUGUUGGGGUUGUAGGACACUCUAUACGGAGUUACAAAAGACGACAUUAGACGAAUCAUCUGGAAAGAUGAAUCAAAGAAGGUAAUAAUCCUGUAGUCGAAAAUGUUGUCUCUCUUGAGUGGAUCCUGAGUACGACGGAGCACGUGAAAUUCCGUCGGAAUCUGGGAGGACCAUCUCCUAAGGCUAAAUACUCUCUAGUGACCGAUAGUGAACCAGUACCGUGAGGGAAAGGUGAAAAGCACCCCGGAAGGGGAGUGAAAUAGAACCUGAAACCGUGUGCUUACAAGUAGUCAGAGCCCGUUAAUGGGUGAUGGCGUGCCUUUUGUAGAAUGAACCGGCGAGUUACGAUUUGAUGCAAGGUUAAGCAGUAAAUGUGGAGCCGUAGCGAAAGCGAGUCUGAAUAGGGCGUUUAGUAUUUGGUCGUAGACCCGAAACCAGGUGAUCUACCCUUGGUCAGGUUGAAGUUCAGGUAACACUGAAUGGAGGACCGAACCGACUUACGUUGAAAAGUGAGCGGAUGAACUGAGGGUAGCGGAGAAAUUCCAAUCGAACCUGGAGAUAGCUGGUUCUCUCCGAAAUAGCUUUAGGGCUAGCCUCAAGUGAUGAUUAUUGGAGGUAGAGCACUGUUUGGACGAGGGGCCCCUCUCGGGUUACCGAAUUCAGACAAACUCCGAAUGCCAAUUAAUUUAACUUGGGAGUCAGAACAUGGGUGAUAAGGUCCGUGUUCGAAAGGGAAACAGCCCAGACCACCAGCUAAGGUCCCAAAAUAUAUGUUAAGUGGAAAAGGAUGUGGCGUUGCCCAGACAACUAGGAUGUUGGCUUAGAAGCAGCCAUCAUUUAAAGAGUGCGUAAUAGCUCACUAGUCGAGUGACACUGCGCCGAAAAUGUACCGGGGCUAAACAUAUUACCGAAGCUGUGGAUUGUCCUUUGGACAAUGGUAGGAGAGCGUUCUAAGGGCGUUGAAGCAUGAUCGUAAGGACAUGUGGAGCGCUUAGAAGUGAGAAUGCCGGUGUGAGUAGCGAAAGACGGGUGAGAAUCCCGUCCACCGAUUGACUAAGGUUUCCAGAGGAAGGCUCGUCCGCUCUGGGUUAGUCGGGUCCUAAGCUGAGGCCGACAGGCGUAGGCGAUGGAUAACAGGUUGAUAUUCCUGUACCACCUAUAAUCGUUUUAAUCGAUGGGGGGACACAGUAGGAUAGGCGAAGCGUGCGAUUGGAUUGCACGUCUAAGCAGUAAGGCUGAGUAUUAGGCAAAUCCGGUACUCAUUAAGGCUGAGCUGUGAUGGGGAGAAGACAUUGUGUCUUCGAGUCGUUGAUUUCACACUGCCGAGAAAAGCCUCUAGAUAGAAAAUAGGUGCCCGUACCGCAAACCGACACAGGUAGUCAAGAUGAGAAUUCUAAGGUGAGCGAGCGAACUCUCGUUAAGGAACUCGGCAAAAUGACCCCGUAACUUCGGGAGAAGGGGUGCUCUUUAGGGUUAACGCCCAGAAGAGCCGCAGUGAAUAGGCCCAAGCGACUGUUUAUCAAAAACACAGGUCUCUGCUAAACCGUAAGGUGAUGUAUAGGGGCUGACGCCUGCCCGGUGCUGGAAGGUUAAGAGGAGUGGUUAGCUUCUGCGAAGCUACGAAUCGAAGCCCCAGUAAACGGCGGCCGUAACUAUAACGGUCCUAAGGUAGCGAAAUUCCUUGUCGGGUAAGUUCCGACCCGCACGAAAGGCGUAACGAUUUGGGCACUGUCUCAACGAGAGACUCGGUGAAAUCAUAGUACCUGUGAAGAUGCAGGUUACCCGCGACAGGACGGAAAGACCCCGUGGAGCUUUACUGUAGCCUGAUAUUGAAAUUCGGCACAGCUUGUACAGGAUAGGUAGGAGCCUUUGAAACGUGAGCGCUAGCUUACGUGGAGGCGCUGGUGGGAUACUACCCUAGCUGUGUUGGCUUUCUAACCCGCACCACUUAUCGUGGUGGGAGACAGUGUCAGGCGGGCAGUUUGACUGGGGCGGUCGCCUCCUAAAAGGUAACGGAGGCGCUCAAAGGUUCCCUCAGAAUGGUUGGAAAUCAUUCAUAGAGUGUAAAGGCAUAAGGGAGCUUGACUGCGAGACCUACAAGUCGAGCAGGGUCGAAAGACGGACUUAGUGAUCCGGUGGUUCCGCAUGGAAGGGCCAUCGCUCAACGGAUAAAAGCUACCCCGGGGAUAACAGGCUUAUCUCCCCCAAGAGUUCACAUCGACGGGGAGGUUUGGCACCUCGAUGUCGGCUCAUCGCAUCCUGGGGCUGUAGUCGGUCCCAAGGGUUGGGCUGUUCGCCCAUUAAAGCGGUACGCGAGCUGGGUUCAGAACGUCGUGAGACAGUUCGGUCCCUAUCCGUCGUGGGCGUAGGAAAUUUGAGAGGAGCUGUCCUUAGUACGAGAGGACCGGGAUGGACAUACCUCUGGUGUACCAGUUGUCGUGCCAACGGCAUAGCUGGGUAGCUAUGUGUGGACGGGAUAAGUGCUGAAAGCAUCUAAGCAUGAAGCCCCCCUCAAGAUGAGAUUUCCCAACUUCGGUUAUAAGAUC
rnacentral:rRNA from 1 species